GCCUGUCGUGACGGCUAGUGUAAAUGGUGAGAUCUACAACCAUGAAGAGCUGAGGAAGCAAUUAUCCAAUCACAAAUUCAGGACCGGAAGUGAUUGCGAUGUUAUUGCUCAUUUGUAUGAAGAACAUGGAGAAGACUUUAUUGACAUGUUGGAUGGGGUAUUCUCGUUUGUGCUGCUCGACACUCGUGACAAUAGCUUCAUUGCUGCUCGAGAUGCAAUCGGAGUUACACCUCUCUACAUCGGCUGGGGACUCGAUGGCUCUGUUUGGAUAUCAUCUGAAAUGAAAGGGCUCAAUGACGAUUGUGAGCACUUUGAGCUUUUCCCUCCUG